UUUUUGGACUACAAAACGAACGCACGAAGAUGUCACUUCCGGCCGCCAUCUUUGUUUCGAUUAGUAAACAGUUGGUGAGCACGGUUUAAAAUCUUCUUCACUGUUUAACAAGGACAAUAUUUUAUCUUCAAACAUGGGAGAAAAUUAUUUUUGGGAACCUGGAAAUGCCCCCAAACAUUGCUCCCGCGGGAUCAUCGGAGCAGCUCAGGAGCAUCUACAGAAGAGAUGGACAUCUUCCGAAACAGUAACCAAGAGAACCGUGAAGAGCCCUAGAGGGAAACCCGUGGACCAAAGCCUGGAUGAAGAAUGUAAACGGACAGUAUCACCUAAAGCCUGCAGUAAAUGGCCCUGAUGGCAGACAUAGAUUAGUCCCUGGACUGAAUAUGAGACUUUGCAUGAAAGGUUGCAGUCAGGUGAAGGAUCAUCUGGUUUAAAUUGAGGUGUUGAACAUGGCACACCAGACCUGAAGGCAAUACUUAGCUGACACCUUCCAUUCAGGCGCUCUUCAUCAAGAAACUGAUUCUUCUCCACUGGAAGACUCCUCAGCCAAAGCAUGAGUAGAUUGUGUGUUAUAUUUGUGAUAUUUACAUAUUUAAAGAAUAAAAAACUAAAUGUAAA